rnacentral:lncRNA from 1 species
GCGAUAAUGUCUCCUUGCAGGAGGAUAAAGAACGAUUUAUGUAUUACAGAAUGUUCAACUUUGGUGAGUCUCAUCGUCAGUCAUGCUGAACUGACCUGCCUGACCUCCUGAUCUCAGAAACUUUCAGCUGGAUCCACCUAGGACAGACAUCAGAGACUACAAAACUGUUGGGUGGGUUUUUUUUUUGGAAACCAGCUAAGCAAAUAGAUUUCCAAUUUACUGGAUUUCUGAAUUCUCCCAUUCUUACAGAGCUUGGCAAAAAGAUAUAUUGCAAAACUAUUAAAGACAUAUUAAAGACAUAUGAAUGCUAA